AUUGAACGCUGGCGGCAUGGUUAAAACAUGCAAGUCGAACGCGAAAGUCACUUCGGUGGCGAGUAGAGUGGCGUAAGGGCGAGUAACGCGUACCUAACGUACCUCCAGGUGAGGGAUAGCUCGGGGAAACCCGUGGUAAUACCUCAUGACCCCGUAUUGUCGAAUGAUGACUCGGGCAAAGGCUUGCUGCCUGGAGAUCGGGGUGCGUCCUAUCAGCUUGUUGGUGAGGUAACGGCUCACCAAGGCUUAGACGGGUAGCGGGUGUGAGAGCAUGACCCGCCGCAUCGGGACUGAGACACUGCCCGG
rnacentral:rRNA from 1 species